rnacentral:rRNA from 1 species
GACGAACGCUGGCGGCGUGCUUAACACAUGCAAGUCGAACGGAAAGGCCCUGCUUUUGUGGGGUGCUCGAGUGGCGAACGGGUGAGUAACACGUGAGUAACCUGCCCUUGACUUUGGGAUAACUUCAGGAAACUGGGGCUAAUACCGGAUAGGAGCUCCUGCUGCAUGGUGGGGGUUGGAAAGUUUCGGCGGUUGGGGAUGGACGCGCGGCUUAUCAGCUUGUUGGUGGGGUAGUGGCUUACCAAGGCUUUGACGGGUAGCCGGCCUGGGAGGGUGACCGGCCACAUUGGGACUGAGAUACGGCCCAGACUCCUACGGGAGGCAGCAGUGGGGAAUAUUGCACAAUGGGCGGAAGCCUGAUGCAGCGACGCCGCGUGCGGGAUGACGGCCUUCGGGGUGUAAACCGCUUUCGCCUGUGACGAAGCGUGAGUGACGGUAAUGGGUAAAGAAGCACCGGCUAACUACGUG